UCGUGAUCAUGCGCGUGAUCGUGGUCAUGCCCGUGGUCAUGAUCAUGGUCGUGGUCGUGAUCAUGGUCGUGGUCAUGAUCGUGAUCGUGAUCAUGG
rnacentral:misc_RNA from 1 species